UGUUGCUGGGUCAGGUAGGUAGUGAUCCUGACAAGUCUAUGGAGCAAUGGAUCAAGGACUACCAGUAGAGGAACAGUCAAAUGAGGAGCCUCCAGUUGAGGAACCAUCUAUCCAAAUACAAAUUUUGGAGCAGAUCACUGACAGUAAUUUAUUACAAUCCUGUUAUUUCAUUUAGAAAACAGAUAUGCAAAUCUAUUCUUCAGUUGAUGAUGAACAAAAUGAUAUAUAUGUUGCCUCCUCUUCAAGAGUAUAUGCUGCCCCAUCAUCAGUUCAAAGGAGAGGGAAAUGGCAUCCAGGACCCUCACUCACUGGCUUAUUAAUGUAAUGCUUAUGCUUUGAGAUGCAGUCUCAAAUGCAAAAACAUGUAACAUUUACAUUGGUUUUGGUUGUAACUUGUGUAAUUAAUGUUUAAGUGAAUAUUGAAAUAAAAAAUAAUUGUAUAUAAAUAAAGUUUAUUUUUAAUUUGUAAAACAUUCAUCUUCAUCAUAUUUCUUCUUAAAAAUUCACUUUUAGACAUU